rnacentral:rRNA from 1 species
GACGUAGGGGGCAAGCGUUGUCCGGAAUCAUUGGGCGUAAAGCGCGCGUAGGCGGCCCGGUAAGUCCGCUCUGAAAGUCCAGGGCUUAACCCUGGAAAGCGGGUGGAUACUGCCGGGCUUGAAUCCGGAAGAGGCGAGUGGAAUUCCUGGUGUAGCGGUGGAAUGCGCAGAUAUCAGGAGGAACACCAAUAGCGAAGGCAGCUCGCUGGGACGGUAUUGACGCUAAGGCGCGAAAGCGUGGGGAGCAAACAGG